UGCCCAGCAACUCCUAUCCCUACCUGCUCGCGGUACCGGCCGGAAACUAUGAGCAACCUUAGGAAAGAUCAGGUAACCAAUGGUGGGAACUUUGGUCGUAGGCUGACAGGGAAGG
rnacentral:ribozyme from 1 species